rnacentral:snRNA from 1 species
ACGGUGACCUGGUGGAGACAUCUGUCACCCCACUGAUCACCAAGGCUGACUGGGCUGCUCUGCCUGCCGGGGCGGGUGUCCCCUUCCUCCCUCACGGCUCCACACGCGCCCUUCCCGAAGCUGCACGCUCGGUGGAAGAGGGUGGCCACCCUGAGAAAGGAGGACCGUUCCUCAGUCAAGGGUUUACGAGUAGCUGCGCUACCCUGCUGGAAGCUCCAAACAAGCGCUCAAAGUCCCUCACUUUCUUUGAGACAAAAAUCUCUCUAAGUCACUAAGUUGCCCAAGGCUGGGCUUGAACCUUUGAUCCUUCCUGCCU